AACACUGUUAACCUGCGGUACCUGCGGAAGGAUCAUUACCGAGUGCGGGUCCUUUGGGCCCAACCUCCCAUCCGUGUCUAUUGUACCCUGUUGCUUCGGCGGGCCCGCCGCUUGUCGGCCGCCGGGGGGGCGCCUCUGCCCCCCGGGCCCGUGCCCGCCGGAGACCCCAACACGAACACUGUCUGAAAGCGUGCAGUCUGAGUUGAUUGAAUGCAAUCAGUUAAAACUUUUAGCAACGGA
rnacentral:misc_RNA from 1 species